AUUCGGUCUCCAGACAACGUAAAACUGUAAACCCCGCCAGGUCCGGAAGGAAGCAACGGUAGCAGUGACUGCGAGUGCUUGGCAAGGCUGGGUUUG
rnacentral:SRP_RNA from 1 species